GACGAACGCUGGCGGCGUGCCUAAUGCAUGCAAGUCGAACGUGAAGCCGGUGCUUGCACCGGUGGAAAGUGGCGAACGGGUGAGUAACACGUGAGAAACCUGCCCCGGAGACCGGGACAACCAUUGGAAACGAUGGCUAAUACCGGAUGCGCUCGGAUGGUCGCAUGACCGACCGAGCAAAGCUCUGGCGCUCUGGGAGGGUCUCGCGGCCUAUCAGUUUGUUGGUGGGUAACGGCCUACCAAGACAUCGACGGGUAGCUGGUCUGAGAGGACGAUCAGCCACACUGGGACUGAGACACGGCCCAGACAUCUACGGAUGGCUGCAGCAGGGAAUAUUGCGCAAUGGGCGAAAGCCUGACGCAGCAACGCCGCGUGAGGGAUGACGGCUUUCGGGUUGUAAACUUCUGUUAAUGGGGACGAUAAUGACGGUACCCAUAGAGGAAGCCACGGCUAACUACGUG
rnacentral:rRNA from 1 species